CAGCAAAUAUUCCUGCUGUUCUCAUUUUGUAAAUAAUCAAGACAGGCUAAACCUUUGCUAUAUUAAGAUCAUGCAUGUCUCCCCAAACGUAGUUCUUUCCCUGGAUCUGGUUUUAUCAAUGCUGGUGAUUCAU
rfam:Felis catus isolate Cinnamon breed Abyssinian chromosome D1, whole genome shotgun sequence.